UGCAGUCGAACGGGCUCUUCGGAGCUAGUGGCGGACGGGUGAGUAACACGUGAGAAUCUGGCUCCCGGUCGGGGACAACAGAGGGAAACUUCUGCUAAUCCCGGAUGAGCCGAAAGGUAAAAGAUUUAUCGCCGGGAGAUGAGCUCGCGUCUGAUUAGCUAGUUGGUGAGGUAAAGGCUCACCAAGGCGACGAUCAGUAGCUGGUCUGAGAGGAUGAUCAGCCACACUGGGACUGAGACACGGCCCAGACUCCUACGGGAGGCAGCAGUGGGGAAUUUUCCGCAAUGGGCGCAAGCCUGACGGAGCAAGACCGCGUGGGGGAGGAAGGCUCUUGGGUUGUAAACCCCUUUUCUCAAGGAAGAACACAAUGACGGUACUUGAGGAAUAAGCCUCGGCUAACUCCGUGCCAGCAGCCGCGGUAAUACGGAGGAGGCAAGCGUUAUCCGGAAUGAUUGGGCGUAAAGCGUCCGUAGGUGGCUGUUCAAGUCUGCUGUUAAAGAAUGAGGCUUAACCUCAUCAGAGCAGUGGAAACUACAGAGCUAGAGUGCGUUCGGGGUAGAGGGAAUUCCUGGUGUAGCGGUGAAAUGCGUAGAUAUCAGGAAGAACACCAGUGGCGAAAGCGCUCUACUAGGCCGCAACUGACACUGAGGGACGAAAGCUAGGGGAGCGAAUGGGAUUAGAUACCCCAGUAGUCCUAGCCGUAAACGAUGGAUACUAGGCGUGGCUUGUAUCGACCCGAGCCGUGCCGGAGCUAACGCGUUAAGUAUCCCGCCUGGGGAGUACGCACGCAAGUGCGAAACUCAAAGGAAUUGACGGGGGCCCGCACAAGCGGUGGAGUAUGUGGGUUUAAUUCGAUGCAACGCGAAGAACCUUACCAAGACUUUGACAUGUCGCGAAUCCUGCCGAAAAGGGGGGAGUGCCUUCGGGGAGCGCGAACACAAGGUGGUGCAUGGCUUGUCGUCAGCUUCGUGGCCGUG
rnacentral:rRNA from 1 species